rnacentral:rRNA from 1 species
CCUACGAGAGACUGCAGUGAGGAAUAUUGGUCAAUGGACGAGAGUCUGAACCAGCCAAGUAGCGUGAAGGAUGACUGCCCUAUGGGUUGUAAACUUCUUUUAUAUGGGAAUAAACUGUUCCACGUGUGGGAUUUUGUAUGUACCAUAUGAAUAAGGAUCGGCUAACUCCGUGCCAGCAGCCGCGGUAAUACGGAGGAUCCGAGCGUUAUCCGGAUUUAUUUGGUUUAAAGGGCGCGUAGGUGGAUUGUUAAGUCAGUUGUGAAAGUUUGCGGCUCAACCGUAAAAUUGCAGUUGAAACUGGGAGUCUUGAGUACAGUAGAGGUGGGCGGAAUUCGUGGUGUAGCGGUGAAAUGCUUAGAUAUCACGAAGAACUCCGAUUGCGAAGGCAGUUCACUGGACUGCAACUGACACUGAGGCUCGAAAGUGUGGGUAUCGAACAGGAUUAGAUACCCGAGUAGUC